rnacentral:rRNA from 1 species
GAUGAACGCUGGCGGCGUGCCUAAUACAUGCAAGUCGAGCGAACAGAUGAGAAGCUUGCUUCUCUGAUGUUAGCGGCGGACGGGUGAGUAACACGUGGGUAACCUACCUAUAAGACUGGGAUAACUCCGGGAAACCGGGGCUAAUACCGGAUAAUAUUUUGAACCGCAUGGUUCAAUAGUGAAAGACGGUUUCGGCUGUCACUUAUAGAUGGACCCGCGCCGUAUUAGCUAGUUGGUAAGGUAACGGCUUACCAAGGCGACGAUACGUAGCCGCCCGGAGAGGGUGAGCGGCCACACUGGAACUGAGACACGGUCCAGACUCCUACGGGAGGCAGCAGUAGGGAAGCUUCCGCAAUGGGCGAAAGCCUGACGGAGCAACGCCGCGUGAGUGAUGAAGGUCUUCGGAUCGUAAACCUCUGUUGUUAGGGAAGAACAAAUUUGUUAGUAACUGAACAAGUCUUGACGGUACCUAACCAGAAAGCCACGGCUAACUACGUGCCAGCAGCCGCCGUAA